rnacentral:lncRNA from 1 species
GAAAAGUUCUCAUGGUUAUAAGAUUUAAACUGAAAGAACAGCAUGCUAUGUUAUAUUUAUGAUUCUUUUUGUUUGAGGAAUUGAAAGAGGUCUGCAAACAAGGUCCAAUAAAUCUCUUUCAGACAGUUGCUUGUGGGAACUCUUCCCCACUCAAUGGAGACUAGAACACAUAAAGGGAAACCAGAGACUGGGGAGAGAAAAAGAGGCCGGACAGGUGCCUGCUGUUGUCUGAAAUCACCAAAGAAGGGCAGGGCUGCAGGCAUUUGACUUCUGACAGAACUUGUCCAUGUAAAGCGCCUGCAUGGUAUCUUUCCCAUGUGGUCGCUGUUAUAUAUGGAUUCGCCAUCUGUCAGCACAGAGAAAAGAUCAAGAGAGUCCUUGUGAUGGAAUGCAUAUGAUCAUGGAAGAAAUCGAUUCAUGUAUGCUUGGAGACAAGAGAGAAAAGCAGUCGCAAGACUGGGUCAGCACAUGUACGUGUGCCAUAGAGUCACUGCACCUCGGCAGGAUGAGCUGCAUUCACAGAAGAUAUUACUUUCCAAAGAUGAAGGGCCCAAUAAACGGAAGUAGCCACUCGGACAAAGAAUCCAAAUUUUCCACAUACAAUUUCCCU